rnacentral:lncRNA from 1 species
GUUUUAUCUCUCUAAGCUGAUAUAUGUGUUCACUACUCAACCUGGUUCACAUGGAGGUUAUCAUCACUGUGUUUUGCUUCCUGGAUGGUCUCCUCCUCCGUCUGACCAGAUCUCUCUGUGCGUUGAUUGCCGGAAUGGGUUGGCUCACAUUUUAUUAUACAUUGAUGGAUCUUCAAACCUCUAGCAUUCUUGCAGACUUUCCCACAAAAAACAUGUACAUUCAUGUCCGUGCUCGCUAUCCUUUCUCGUUCUUUAUUCGUAUCAUGAGUCUGUCCUAUAGGCUGUUCAUCAUUCCUCGCACUCGCACAGCCUCAAGUGUGUCUUAAUAUAUAUAUAUAUAUAUCGGUUUAUUGCGUGUAGUGAAAGUUCUCUUCACAGGAGAUGCACUUUGUCCUGCCAAGCCUAAUACCGCAAGUACCAUUCUCUCCUGGCUGCCGUCGGUCUCUCCAGGUCGCCUCUCUCUGUUCUCUUCACAGUCGUCAACUCGAAUAUCAUAUUUUCUUUAAUAAAGGUUGCAUGUCCAACUCUCAUUAGGUACUAAUGGUCAAACUUACUUAAUCUACUGUUAAUACUUUUGACGGCUAAUAAUAACUAAUGCUGCUGCAAUCAAAUGAUGUUUGACAACCCUUUUGAAUAACUAAUACAUUUUUUAUUUAUAGAAUGGCAUGCAAGUACUUUAACUAUUUAGUUUACUUUAUAGUGAAAAUAUACUUAUAAGUACUGCACGUUUAUGUAUUAAAAGUGGCGAG